rnacentral:rRNA from 1 species
GAUGAACGCUGGCGGCGUGCCUAAUACACGCAAGUCGAGCGAACGGACGAGAAGCUUGCUUCUCUGAUGUUAGCGGCGGACGGGUGAGUAACACGUGGAUAACCUACCUAUAAGACUGGGAUAACUUCGGGAAACCGGAGCUAAUACCGGAUAAUAUUUUGAACCGCAUGGUUCAAAAGUGAAAGACGGUCUCGCUGUCACUUAUAGAUGGAUCCGCGCUGCAUUAGCUAGUUGGUAAGGUAACGGCUUACCAAGGCAACGAUGCAUAGCCGACCUGAGAGGGUGAUCGGCCACACUGGAACUGAGACACGGUCCAGACUCCUACGGGAGGCAGCAGUAGGGAAUCUUCCGCAAUGGGCGAAAGCCUGACGGAGCAACGCCGCGUGAGUGAUGAAGGUCUUCGGAUCGUAAAACUCUGUUAUUAGGGAAGAACAUAUGUGUAAGUAACUGUGCACAUCUUGACGGUACCUAAUCAGAAAGCCACGGCUAACUACGUG